rnacentral:rRNA from 1 species
UACGGGGGGGGCAAGCGUUGUUCGGAAUUACUGGGCGUAAAGGGUUCGUAGGUGGCGUGCUAAGUCAGACGUGAAAUCCCUCAGCUUAACUGGGGAACUGCGUCUGAGACUGGCAGGCUCGAGUGCAGGAGAGGAACGCGGAAUUCCAGGUGUAGCGGUGAAAUGCGUAGAUAUCUGGAGGAACACCGGUGGCGAAGGCGGCGUUCUGGACUGCAACUGACACUGAAGAACGAAAGCCAGGGGAGCAAACGGG